rnacentral:misc_RNA from 1 species
GUGAAUCAUCGAAUUUUUGAACGCAAAUUGCACUCUCCUCUGAGAGUAUGCCUGUUUGUGUGUCAGCCUAUAAAAAUCGACAUCGUUACUGUUUCUCGUUAACGUUUGUCGGAAAUUUGGUCAUCUUAAAUCUUUUGGUUUAAGCUACUUAAAAAUUUCUUUUUGAUUCCAUGAACGUUUCUAAGAUUUAUUUCUUUACACGUUUAAGGUAUCGAUUUAUUAGUCGUUGCCGUCAUAUCUGAUCUCUUCC